UACCAGCUCUCCGAGUGGUGUGGAUGUUUAUUGGGCCUAAAGCAUCCGUAGCUGGCUGGGCAAGUCCCCUGUUAAAUCCACCGAUUUAAUCGUUGGAGUGCGGGGGAUACUGCUCGGCUAGGGGGCGGGAGAGGCAGACGGUAUUUUCGGGGUAGGGGUGAAAUCCUAUAAUCCCGAGAAGACCACCAGUGGCGAAGGCUGUCUGCUAGAACGUGCCCGACGGUGAGGGAUGAAAGCUGGGGGGAGCGAACCGGAUUAGAUACCCGGGUAGUCCCAGCUGUAAACGAUGCAGGCUAGGUGUUUGGACGGCCACGUGCCGUUCUAGUGCCGCAGGGAAGCCGUUAAGCCUGCCGCCUGGGGAGUACGGCCGCAAGGCUGAAACUUAAAGGAAUUGGCGGGGAGCACCACAAGGGGUGAAGCUUGCGGUUU
rnacentral:rRNA from 1 species